AUGUUAACAGUAUUCCAUUUGGUUUGGUGGGAAAUCAAGGAGAUCGAUGAGCUUCAUAGGAAUCUCUUUGAGGAUUGUAUGGCAGAUGCAAAUUUGGGGAUGUUGCAUGUUUGGUCAGCUGGAAAGAAUCAGGUUCACGGACUAUGUAGGUUGGUGCUUACCGGCCUUAGAAAGUUUGGUCGCACUACAGUUGUGUUUGGAAGUAGUAUGAAUGAACAAGCAAAUGACAACCCUGUAUCGACAUAUAAUUCCAACAGAUUAGAUUGUAAAACGGUGACAUGCCGCAUUUUUGGACCUCAAGAUGGCUCAACGAUCAAGCAUUAG
rnacentral:rRNA from 1 species